rnacentral:snRNA from 1 species
CAAGCAAGCUAGCGGAUUUUCUCAGGCUAAGGCUCAGCCAUUGCACUCCAGCUGUAUCGACUCUUGCAAUUUCGCCAAACGCAGAAAACCCAACUGCAUAAUUUAUGGUAGUAGGAGACUGCAUGCAUGCCUUCCCCUG